rnacentral:rRNA from 1 species
UAGUCUCGCACAGAUGCAUAUCAAUAAGCGGAGGAAAAGAAACUAACAAGGAUUCCCCUAGUAACGGCGAGAUGAAGCGGGAAGAGCUCAAAUUUGAAAUCUUAAAGGGUUUCCCUUUACGAAUUGUAGUUUAAAGAAGUGUUUUCUGUUGAGGUUUUGGUAAAAGUUCUUUGGAAUAGGACAUCAUAGAGGGUGAGAAUCCCGUAUUUGACCUUUACUUUCAACUUUGUGAUACACUUUCAAAGAGUCGGAUUGUUUGGGAAUGCAGUCCAAAAUGGGUGGUAAAUUUCAUCUAAAGCUAAAUAUUGGCGAGAGACCGAUAGCGAACAAGUACCGUGAGGGAAAGAUGAAAAGAACUUUGAAAAGAGAGUUAAACAGUACGUGAAAUUGUCAAAAGGGAAGCGUUUGACACCAGUGUUGUUUUUCUGAAAAUCAAUUAAAGAACUGUUUAUGCUAAGCUUGUUUAGACUUUAUCAGCUAUCUGUUUAGUUUUGAGCUUUUCUUUAAUGCACUUUUCAGUUAACAAGUCAACAUCAAUUUCUUUUGCUGUAAAAAAGCUUGAGGAAGGUGGCUUGAGAUUCGUCUUAAGUGUUUAUAGCCUCUUGCCUAUGCAGUCGGAGAGAUUGAGGUCUGCAGCGUAGAUCCUUCGGGGCUAAAUGCAUUUGUGCUAAGUUAUAGCAUUUUAUAGACAACUUGUUGACUAUGAUUUGUCUUGUAGCUUACUCGCUUAUGUUAUUUUACCUACGCUUAGGAUGUUGACAGCAGUAUAGACUGU